rnacentral:misc_RNA from 1 species
GAUGAAGAACGCAGUGAACUGCGAUAAGUAAUGUGAAUUGCAGAAUUCAGUGAAUCAUUGAGUCUUUGAACGCACAUUGCGCCCCCUGGCAUUCCGGGGGGCAUGCCUGUCCGAGCGUCAUUGCUGCCCUUCAAGCCCGGCUUGUGUGUUGGGUCGUCGUCCCCCCCGGGGGACGGGCCCGAAAGGCAGCGGCGGCACCGCGUCCGGUCCUCGAGCGUAUGGGGCUUUGUCACCCGCUCGAUUAGGGCCGGCCGGGCGCCAGCCGGCGUCUCCAACCUUCUAUUUUACCAGGUUGACCUCGGAUCAGGUAGGGAUACCCGCUGAACUUAAGCAUAUCAAUAAGCGGAGGA